AUUGAACGCUGGCGGCAGGCCUAACACAUGCAAGUCGAACGAGUGGCGGACGGGUGCGUAAUGUCUGGGAAACUGCCUGAUGGAGGGGGAUAACUACUGGAAACGGUAGCUAAUACCGCAUACCAUCAGAUGUGCCCAGAUGGGAUUAUCUAGUUGGUGGGGUAACGGCUCACCAAGGCGACGAUCCCUAGCUGGUAUGAGAGGAUGACCAGACACACUGGAACUGAGACACGGGCCAUACGCCUACGGGAGGAAGCAGUGGGGAAUAUUGCACAAGGGGCGCAAGCCUGAUGCAGCCAUGCCGCGUGUAGGAAGAAGGCCUUCGGGUUGUAAAGUACUUUCAGCGGGGAGGCGUUACCCGCAGAAGAAGCACCGGCUAACUCCGUGCCAGGCGCCGCGGUAAUUC
rnacentral:rRNA from 1 species